rnacentral:rRNA from 1 species
GACAGAGGCCCCGAGCGUUAAUCGGAAUCACUGGGCUUAAAGGGUGCGUAGGCCGGCCCGCAAGUGCUUCGUGAAAGCCCACGGCUCAACCGUGGAACAGCGGGGCAUACUGCGGGUCUUGAGGCAGGUAGGGGUCGCGAGAACAGUAGGUGGAGCGGUGAAAUGCGUAGAUAUCUACUGGAAUGCCGAUGGUGAAGACGCGCGACUGGGCCUGUCCUGACGCUGAGGUACGAAAGCGUGGGGAGCAAACAGG